GAUUAAUUCCUUAAUUUCCAAACUCAUCCUUGCAAUAAUCUUUGUAUACACUCUUUAAAGAAUGAAUCAAUUGCAACAUAAUAUGGGUUGUGGGGGUGGGAAACUAGUUAAGUGUUAUGAAAGAACAUGGCUUCAACUUCGAAUCUGACUCCUCAUGGAACAAUGGAAAUUGUGUUCCAUAUAGAAUGGGUUACUCAUGUUGUAUUCUAUAAAGAUCUGAAGAUUCUUCUUAUUAUUCCUCAACAAUUAUAGGGAUUGGUUCUUCAAAUUUGUCAUCAUCAAAAUCGUCAAGAAAGAAAUUUGCGUCUACAGAUUCCACAUCUUCAUAAGUUCGCUCCAUUUUUUCAUCUAAAUCUAGAAAAAAGUGCAUUCAUUCAAACUUGAAACACCAAAUAAAUAUGUUUGUGAAAGUAUCUCAAGACAUCGAUGGAUGAUGUUAAGACUCCUAUAGCCACCAUUUGAGAGCUCAGUAUCUCAUUGCCAUUGCAACUACUUUCAUCUUCUUCUUCUUCAAAGUUUCUUCCGUUCUGAAAUAUUUUUAGAGUAAAUGAUCAACCAAUAUGCAUCUUCUACUUCAUAAAAAAUCAAAAACAGAAUCACAAAUGUUAUUUAAUCGAAAAUAAAAUUAAAAUAAGAGUAUUAGUUGAUAGGAUAAUUUCAUAUCAAAACUAAGACAUUAUUGUUUCUAUAAAAAAGUGAAAGAACACUUCAAAACUAUCUAACAAAACUAAAAUAACAUUUUUUCCUUCAUUGAUAAGUUAAGAUCUCUCGAUGAGAGUACAUAUAGUGUUAAUAGGAGAUCAUAACUAGAAGGUAGCCCAAUUACAUAACUAUCAAAUAAAAAUACAACUAAUAAUAUUAUAUUUUCUAGCGUAACUAAAUAAUUUAGUUAAUUGUAUUUCUUUUCCCUAACAUACAUAUUUCAUAUUUCUAACCUUCAAGAUCGUCUUCGUCUUGUAAUAUUCAAUAUUUAUUUAAGAGGAUGAACAUUCAAUAUUUAUUUUUUCUUAUUUUUAGCUUAAUUCGAAAAAACACUCGUUACAAAAGG
rnacentral:lncRNA from 1 species